AGGACGAACGCUGGCGGCGUGCUUAACACAUGCAAGUCGAGCGGAAAGGCCCUUCGGGGUACUCGAGCGGCGAACGGGUGAGUAACACGUGAGUAACCUGCCCCUAGCUCUGGGAUAGCUCCGGGAAACCGGGAUUAAUACCAGAUACGACCACUUUAGACAUCUGUCGUGGUGGAAAGGAUUCCGGCUAGGGAUGGGCUCGCGGCCUAUCAGCUUGUUGGUGGGGUAACGCCUACCAAGGCGACGACGGGUAGCCGGCCUGAGAGGGCGACCGGCCACACUGGGACUGAGACACGGCCCAGACUCCUACGGGAGGCAGCAGUGGGGAAUAUUGCGCAAUGGGCGAAAGCCUGACGCAGCGACGCCGCGUGGGGAUGAAGGCCUUCGGGUUGUAAACCCCUUUCAGCAGGGACGAAGCGAAAGUGACGGUACCUGCAGAAGAAGCGCCGGCUAACUACGUGCCAGCAGCCGC
rnacentral:rRNA from 1 species